rnacentral:rRNA from 1 species
UACGGGGAGGCAGCAGUGGGGAAUUUUGGACAAUGGGCGCAAGCCUGAUCCAGCCAUUCCGCGUGAGUGAAGAAGGCCUUCGGGUUGUAAAGCUCUUUCGCAAGGGAAGAAAACUUAUCCUCUAACAUAGGAUGAGGUUGACGGUACCUUGAUAAGAAGCACCGGCUAACUACGUGCCAGCAGCCGCGGUAAUACGUAGGGUGCGAGCGUUAAUCGGAAUUACUGGGCGUAAAGCGUGCGCAGGCGGCUUUGUAAGUCAGAUGUGAAAUCCCCGAGCUCAACUUGGGAACUGCGUUUGAAACUACAAGGCUAGAAUAUGUCAGAGGGGGGUAGAAUUCCACGUGUAGCAGUGAAAUGCGUAGAGAUGUGGAGGAAUACCAAUGGCGAAGGCAGCCCCCUGGGAUAAUAUUGACGCUCAUGCACGAAAGCGUGGGGAGCAAACAGGAUUAGAUACCCUGGUAGUCCACGCCCUAAACGAUGUCUACUAGUUGUUGGUGGAGUAAAAUCCAUGAGUAACG